rnacentral:rRNA from 1 species
GCAAACCGGGAGAACUGAAACAUCUAAGUACCCCGAGGAAAAGAAAUCAACCGAGAUUUUGUAAGUAGCGGCGAGCGAAAGCGAAAGAGCCAGUGAGUGAUAACAGCAAAGACAGAAGAAUUGGCUGGGAAGCCAAGCGACACAGGGUGAUAGCCCCGUAUUCGAAGUUUUUGUUGUGGUACUAAGCUUGCAACAAGUAGGGCGGGACACGAGAAAUCCUGUUUGAAGAUGGGGGGACCAUCCUCCAAGGCUAAAUACUCCUGAUUGACCGAUAGUGAACCAGUACUGUGAAGGAAAGGCGAAAAGAACCCCAGUGAGGGGAGUGAAAUAGAACCUGAAACCGUGUACGUACAAGCAGUGGGAGCCCGAAAGGGUGACUGCGUACCUUUUGUAUAAUGGGUCAGCGACUUAUAUUUUGUAGCGAGGUUAACUGAAUAAGGGAGCCGAAGGGAAACCGAGUCUUAACUGGGCGGAUAGUUGCAAGGUAUAGACCCGAAACCCGGUGAUCUAGCCAUGGGCAGGUUGAAGGUUGGGUAACACUAACUGGAGGACCGAACCGACUAAUGUUGAAAAAUUAGCGGAUGACUUGUGGCUGGGGGUGAAAGGCCAAUCAAACCGGGAGAUAGCUGGUUCUCCCCGAAAUCUAUUUAGGUAGAGCCUUAUGUGAAUACCUUCGGGGGUAGAGCACUGUUUCGGCUAGGGGUCCAUCCCGGAUUACCAACCCGAUGCAAACUGCGAAUACCGAAGAGUAAUGCAUAGGAGACACACGGUGGGUGCUAACGUCCAUCGUGGAGAGGGAAACAACCCAGACCGCCAGCUAAGGUCCCAAAGUCUAUAUUAAGUGGGAAACGAAGUGGGAAGGCUUAGACAGCUAGGAUGUUGGCUUAGAAGCAGCCAUCAUUUAAAGAAAGCGUAAUAGCUCACUAGUCGAGUCGGCCUGCGCGGAAGAUGUAACGGGGCUAAAAUAUAGCACCGAAGCUGCGGCAUCAGGCGUAUCACUAAUACGCCUUACGAUUAACAACAUCGAAUGAAGUGAAACGGAAAGAGAUGUUGGUCAAGCAACCCGAACGUUGAGUCGGAAAGUAAUCGAAGAGAGGAUUAUUAGUGAUACGUCUGUUGGGUAGGGGAGCGUUGUGUAAGCGGAUGAAGGUGAAUCGAGAGGUUUGCUGGACGUAUCACAAGUGCGAAUGCUGACAUAAGUAACGAUAAAACGAGUGAAAAACUCGUUCGCCGGAAGACCAAGGGUUCCUGUCCAACGUUAAUCGGGGCAGGGUGAGUCGGCCCCUAAGGCGAGGCUGAAAAGCGUAGUCGAUGGGAAACGGGUUAAUAUUCCCGUACUUG